GCAGGUAUAGCUCAGUGAUACAGCGCAUGCUUAGCAUGCAUGAGGUCCUGGGUUCAAUCCCCAGUACCUCCA
rnacentral:tRNA from 1 species